rnacentral:rRNA from 1 species
UACGUAGGGUGCAAGCGUUAAUCGGAAUUACUGGGCGUAAAGCGUGCGCAGGCGGUUUUGUAAGUCCGCUGUGAAAUCCCCGGGCUCAACCUGGGAAUUGCGAUGGAGACUGCAAGGCUAGAAUCUGGCAGAGGGGGGUAGAAUUCCACGUGUAGCAGUGAAAUGCGUAGAGAUGUGGAGGAACACCGAUGGCGAAGGCAGCCCCCUGGGUCAAGAUUGACGCUCAUGCACGAAAGCGUGGGGAGCAAACAGG